rnacentral:lncRNA from 9 species
GGAUGCAGGACUGUGGGAAUACAGGGGGCGCCAGGAUAGAGAGGCGCAGAAUUGCAGAGAUACCGAAGUGGAGAAAAUUCAAAUUGACACCAACCUACAGGCCAAAUGCAGAGUGCAAGCUUCUAGUAGUUUCUGCCCUCCUUAGCUCAUGGAGGAGGAGAAGGGUAGUGCUCAAGAAAAACAAGGGAGCUGUGCACGGAGAUGCAACACCGUCCAUGACACCCACAAGGAGAGAACUCCCAACUAGACCCUAGAAGUCUGCAAGCAGAUCUGCGAAGUCCAGGAUGCCAGGCUGACUGUGAGACCAAGACCAAGCAAUAUGAAGAUAAGGGGCAGGAGGCUGAGCGGAAUACCUCACACACCAAUCAGUGCUCAGCCUGCCAUCACGCCACCCGAAAACUGGCCAAUAGGAAGGUAGCAACCUCUAUAAAAAUGGGCGCGACUCAGGCGACUAAGAGGAAGAAUUGUAAUAGCAGCUGAAGGGCCUUGGCCCACACAAAGCAGAUGGCGCACAAGUGCACCGGCGGCAAGGCACCACGAAAGCAGCUGACUACCAAAGUAGCUCGAAAGGGUGCUCCAGCUACAGGUGGUGUAAAGAAGCCACACAGAUUUCGGCCUGAUACUGUAGCCUUGCACGAGAUCCGUCUGUACCAGACAGAAGUCUACAGAGCUUUUGGUUCACAAGCUGCUGUUCCCAGCGGCUGGUACGUGAGAUUGCACAGGAUUUCAAGGCGGAUCUGAGUUUCCAGAGUUCGGCUGUGAUGGCACUGCGGGAAGCAUGCGAGGCAUAUCUGGUGGGUUUUUUUGAAGAUGCCAGCCUGUGUGCUAUUCAUUGCCAAGCGUGUCACUAUUACGCCUAAAGAUGUCCAGCUGGCUCGGCGUAUUCGUGGGGAGCGUGUCUAGAUUCUCAGCACACAGCCGCUGCUCUUACCCCAAAGACUCUUCAGAGCCACUACUUCUUCACAAAGUGCACUGUACACAAAACAUUUAGGUUGCCCCUUAUCUCCAGCCUACCAGAAACCUAACUGUGUUGCGUGGUAACACGGCCUUUGAGACUUAACUAUGUCAAGUCGCUGCGUAGCCCCUAGUCUUAAUGUUUGAAGAGGGUAUGUUGCCUUGGAAGUGAGCAUCCGUGGCAACAGCUGAUCAAUGCGCUUAGCAAAAAGUUUCUCAACCCAUAAGACUGUCUGAACUUGCUGGAAAACUCUAUGAGAGCAGUCACUCAUACUCCCCAAAGCAGAGCUGUGUGUAAACAACCUGAGCAUGGUUUUCAGGAAGAGUGUAAGGACUUGUUCCUCCAUUGGUGAUGGUUGGAAGCUUUUAUUAGUUGAGGUUUUAACUUGAUAAAAAUCUAAACACUGCCAGGUUGCCGAAAGGGGAUAAAAUCUGUUCCCUCCUGUC